GUGAUGACUGCUCUCUGACUAGUUCAGCUGCUAAUCGUCCACUGUGGACAAUCAUUAAUG
rnacentral:rRNA from 1 species